rnacentral:sRNA from 1 species
AUACCUUCUGUAUUAGCCAGUUUUUUCUUUCUCUAGUUUUGCAUGUAGCUGAAUGGUGGAAUGUCUGUUUUCUUUUCUCAGGCAAAAUUAGCUGCUUGGUGCUUUCCCCAGUUGUUGUUAGGGUUGAAUGAGCCUCAUAAAGUACAAGAAUAUGUCCUAACAGUCGUAAACAGGAAUGUUGUGGGAUGUGCAAAAAUCCUCAUGUUAGUGACAAUUUUUAAUUACAUGCUCUGCAUCCCAGAUUUAGUGAGUCUAUUUCUGAUGGAUGUCAGCUGCUGCCUGCCUUACAAAAGUCUCGAAACCUGGAGGGCUUUAAAUGUAGGUGGAGGCUGAGGUACCUAGGGGUUUGCCGAGUGCCAAAGACUGGCUUAAACUCCAUUGCCGAGGCAGGUGCUGACAUAUCCCUUUGGCUAGGGAGGCACGUCACAUGCUGGAGACUAACAGAGAAAAUGGUAAAGCCAGCUUUCAGGGGAGUCUGCCGAGAAAGCCCUACCCUCUGGUUCACCAGCAUGUCUACUGAAUUCUCUUGUUUCUAGGAAAAUUUACUGGCUUUAUUUUUCCCUCACAGAGUGAGGGAAAAAUCCCAGAUAUGGAUGAUUUGCCUGACUCUUGCUUUAAGGAUGAAUUUCUCUGCUUACCAUAGGAAACUCAUCUGCUGUUGACUUUCAUAAAGAGUCAGGACUGCAGAAGUCAGUUACAUCCUGCUGGGGGAAUCAUCUUCCCAGUAAGUGGGAAUAGGCACAUGGUUUGAGUAAUGGGCAAGUCAUCUAUAUGCUUUCUGUCCUUCAGGUACACCAGUACUAUAGCUGUCUCCCAGAAGAGAAAGUCCCUUAUGUCAACAGUCCUGGAGAGAAACUGCGAAUCAAGCAGCUACUACACCAGCUGCCGCCACAUGACAAUGAGGUUCGAUAUUGCAACUCCCUGGAUGAGGAAGAGAAGAGGGAGCUGAAGCUUUUCAGCAGCCAGAGGAAACGCGAAAACUUGGGCCGUGGGAAUGUCAGGCCUUUCCCAGUCACCAUGACAGGAGCUAUUUGUGAACAGUGCGGAGGCCAGAUCAAUGGUGGAGACAUCGCUGUGUUUGCGUCACGCGCUGGCCACGGUGUUUGCUGGCACCCGCCGUGCUUCGUAUGCACUGUCUGCAAUGAGCUCCUGGUGGAUCUGAUCUACUUUUACCAAGAUGGGAAGAUAUACUGUGGCAGGCACCAUGCUGAGUGCCUGAAGCCGCGCUGUGCUGCCUGCGAUGAGAUCAUCUUUGCAGAUGAAUGCACAGAAGCUGAGGGGCGACACUGGCACAUGAAACACUUUUGCUGCUUCGAGUGUGAGACAGUGCUGGGCGGCCAGCGCUACAUCAUGAAGGAGGGAAGACCCUACUGUUGCCACUGCUUCGAGUCCUUGUAUGCAGAAUAUUGUGACACCUGUGCCCAACAUAUAGGUAUCGACCAAGGUCAAAUGACCUAUGACGGCCAACAUUGGCAUGCCACUGAGACCUGUUUCUGCUGUGCUCACUGCAAGAAAUCCCUCCUGGGGCGGCCAUUCCUCCCGAAGCAGGGCCAGAUAUUCUGCUCACGGGCCUGCAGUGCUGGGGAAGACCCCAAUGGUUCUGACUCCUCUGAUUCCGCCUUCCAGAACGCCAGGGCCAAGGAGUCCCGGCGCAGUGCCAAAAUUGGCAAGAACAAGGGCAAGACGGAGGAGCCCAUGCUGAACCAGCACAGCCAGCUGCAAGUGAGUUCUAACCGGCUGUCAGCCGACGUAGACCCCCUGUCACUGCAGAUGGACAUGCUCAGCCUGUCCAGCCAGACACCCAGCCUCAACCGGGACCCCAUCUGGAGGAGCCGGGAAGAGCCCUACCAUUAUGGGAAUAAGAUGGAGCAGAAUCAGACCCAGAGCCCUCUGCAGCUCCUCAGCCAGUGCAACAUCAGAACUUCCUACAGUCCAGGAGGGCAAGGGGCUGGGGCCCAGCCCGAAAUGUGGGGCAAGCACUUCAGCAACCCCAAAAGGAGCUCGUCACUGGCCAUGACAGGACAUGCUGGCAGCUUCAUCAAGGAAUGCCGAGAAGACUAUUACCCGGGGAGGCUGAGAUCUCAGGAGAGCUACAGUGAUAUGUCUAGUCAGAGUUUCAGUGAGACCCGAGGCAGCAUCCAAGUCCCCAAAUAUGAGGAGGAAGAGGAAGAGGAAGGGGGCAUGUCCACUCAGCAGUGUCGGACCCGUCAUCCCAUCAGUUCCCUGAAAUACACAGAGGACAUGACGCCCACAGAGCAGACCCCUCGGGGCUCCAUGGAAUCCCUGGCCCUGUCUAAUGCAACAGGCCUCUCUGCUGAUGGUGGUGCCAAGCGCCAGGAGCACCUAUCCCGAUUUUCCAUGCCUGACCUCAGCAAAGACUCUGGAAUGAAUGUGUCUGAGAAGCUGAGCAACAUGGGCACUCUUAACUCGUCCAUGCAGUUCCGGAGCGCAGAGUCAGUUCGCAGCCUGCUCUCUGCCCAGCAGUACCAGGAGAUGGAGGGAAACCUCCACCAGCUCAGCAACCCCAUUGGCUACAGAGACCUGCAGUCCCACGGAAGGAUGCAUCAGAGCUUUGAUUUUGAUGGAGGGAUGGCGGGCAGCAAGCUGCCAGGGCAGGAGGGCGUGAGGAUCCAGCCCAUGAGCGAACGCACCCGGAGAAGAGCUACUUCACGCGACGACAACCGCCGUUUCCGACCUCACAGGUCCAGGCGUUCCCGACGCUCUCGCUCCGACAACGCCCUCCACCUGGCCAGCGAACGCGAGGCCAUCUCCCGGUUAAAAGAUAGGCCCCCUCUGAGAGCCAGGGAGGACUAUGACCAAUUUAUGCGCCAGCGGAGCUUCCAGGAGAGCAUGGGGCAUGGGUCCCGGAGGGACCUGUACGGCCAGUGCCCUAGGACUGUGUCGGACCUGGCUUUGCAGAAUGCCUUUGGGGACCGCUGGGGACCCUACUUCGCCGAGUAUGAUUGGUGUUCCACCUGCUCCUCCUCUUCAGAGUCUGACAACGAGGGCUAUUUCCUAGGAGAACCCAUCCCCCAGCCAGCGCGCCUGCGAUACGUCACAAGCGAUGAGCUGCUGCACAAAUACAGCUCCUACGGCCUCCCCAAAUCUUCCACAUUAGGUGGCAGAGGACAGUUGCACAGCAGGAAAAGACAGAAGAGCAAAAACUGUAUCAUUUCUUAAUAUGAUUGGGAUCAGGGAAUGGGAGAAGAUGGGAGCUAAGAAUGUAAAGUCAGAAACUUGCACUGUUUUAAAGGUUAAAGCGCUUUUGGGGGUGGCUUAUGGGGGAGAAAAGGGAAAAUGCUGUCAGUAGAUGGAGGCAAGGUUACAGAUUGACUCAAUAGGUAGUCACAGUUCUUGGCAUGUUGAAUAUUAUUUGCACAUUUCACUUUGGAAACACAGUAGACUCUAUCGAGGCCAGGGUUGGUCACUUCCUUCCCAUCAGUUCUGUGUUAAGUUGCCAUCUCUCAAGAUGGUAAAUUGUUUCCUGCUCGCUUUUAUCCUCUCUGGUUCUCUUACUUUUAGGACCCUUUUUUCAGUAAGUAAUUUGUUUAUUAGCCAGGACCCAAGACUAAGUUAUUUACAUGUCCAUUGUAAAUGCAAUGUAAAUGAGAGUUCUGAUAAAAUAUUUUUGUAUUUUGUAAUAUCAAAGGAAUUUCUAUAUCGUAGGACUCAGUGGGGACUUGCAUGCACAUCCACCAUUGUCUCUGAGU